UUAAGAUAAUGAAGAGGCUGUUUGUCAUUGGUCUGUGUCUUGCUGUGGUCUUGGCAGCGCCCAGGCCAGACGAUGAUGACGAUCACGACUUAGAUGAUAAUAAACCACAGCAACCACGCGCUCAAAGAAGGUUCCAGCAACAAUAUCAG